CCUACGGGAGGCAGCAGUGGGGAAUCUUGCGCAAUGGGCGAAAGCCUGACGCAGCCAUGCCGCGUGAAUGAUGAAGGUCUUAGGAUUGUAAAAUUCUUUCACCGGGGACGAUAAUGACGGUACCCGGAGAAGAAGCCCCGGCUAACUUCGUGCCAGCAGCCGCGGUAAUACGAAGGGGGCUAGCGUUGCUCGGAAUUACUGGGCGUAAAGGGAGCGUAGGCGGAUAGUUUAGUCAGAGGUGAAAGCCCAGGGCUCAACCUUGGAAUUGCCUUUGAUACUGGCUAUCUUGAGUACGGAAGAGGUAUGUGGAACUCCGAGUGUAGAGGUGAAAUUCGUAGAUAUUCGGAAGAACACCAGUGGCGAAGGCGACAUACUGGUCCGUUACUGACGCUGAGGCUCGAAAGCGUGGGGAGCAAACAGGAUUAGAUACCCUGGUAGUCCACGCUGUAAACGAUGAGUGCUAGUUGUCGGCAGGCAUGCCUGUCGGUGACGCAGCUAACGCAUUAAGCACUCCGCCUGGGGAGGUACGGUCGCGAGAUAAACUACAAUAGAAGUAGACGGCGNGAGACGUGCCGACGACGACGACGAGGGAGGUAGG
rnacentral:rRNA from 1 species